rnacentral:sRNA from 19 species
CAUAAACAAAGACCUCCUAACUUUGUUUAGAAAUCCUAAAACUUUUCUUUUUCAUAAUAAUCUCCCUAUAAAAACCGCCCAAUUGGCGGUUUUUUU